ACCAGGAUGGCCGAGUGGUUAAGGCGUUGGAUUCAAGAUCCAAUGGACAAAAGUCCUCGUGGGUUCAAACCCCACUCCUGGUA